CACUUUAAUGAAAACAAUGUCCACAUUUACGAGGAGCUAGACCACAAAAGCUCCAACAACAAAAGUAAAUUGAGGUUUUAAAAACACACCCACCACUUUGCUUGCAAUAUUUGAAACAUUAUCUUCAUAACUUUAUUUGUAGGUAGCUUUCAAAACAAAGUUACAAAGUGCUUUACCGGGGUGGGGGGGAUUAAGAUUAAAACAUUACAGAGCUACAAUUAAAUAAAAUCAGGCAAAUAAAAGCUGUCAAUCCAUACAGCUUUCAAAAGAAUGUAACAUUUUACAUUUCUAAACCCAUAGAAACAAUCAAAAACAAUUUCUACUUCACUUUUUCAUUA